rnacentral:rRNA from 1 species
GUGAAGCGUAAAGCUCAAAUUUGAAACCCUCGGGAUUGUAAUUUGAAGAUUUGGCAUUGGAGAAAGCUAACCCAAGUUGCUUGGAAUAGUACGUCAUAGAGGGUGACAACCCCGUCUGGCUAACCGUUCUCCAUGUAUUGCCUUAUCAAAGAGUCGAGUUGUUUGGGAAUGCAGCUCAAAGUGGGUGGUAAACUCCAUCUAAAGCUAAAUACUGGUGAGAGACCGAUAGCGAACAAGUACUGUGAAGGAAAGGUGAAAAGAACUUUGAAAAGAGAGUGAAAUAGUAUGUGAAAUUGUUGAUAGGGAAGGAAAUGAGUGGAGAGUGGCCGAGGUUUCAGCCGCCCCUCGUGGGCGGUGUACUGCCGACGCCGAGUCAUCGAUAGCGAGACGAGGGUUACAAAUGGGAGCGCCUUUCGGGCGUUCUCCCCUAACCCUCCACACUGCCACCGACAGACAAAUCCACCAUUUACUG